rnacentral:tRNA from 1 species
GGGCGCUUAGCUCAGCUGGUAGAGCAUCUGACUUUUAAUCAGGGGGUCACAGGUUCGAACCCUGUAGCGCCCACCA